GAAUUUUUCACAAUGGGCGAAAGCCUGAUGGAGCGACGCCGCGUGGGGGAUGAAUGGCUUCGGCCCGUAAACCCCUGUCAUUUGCGAACAAACCUUGUCCGUUAAUACCGGACAAGCUGAUUGUAGCGAAAGAGGAAGGGACGGCUAACCCUGUGCCACCAGCCGCGGUAAUACAGAGGUCCCAAGCGUUGUUCGGAUUCACUGGGCGUAAAGGGUGCGUAGGUGGUUAGGUAAGUCUGUUGUGAAAUCCCGGAGCUUAACUCCGGAACUGCAUCGGAUACUAUCUAACUUGAGGAUUGAAGGGGGGACUGGAAUUCUCGGUGUAGCAGUGAAAUGCGUAGAUAUCGAGAGGAACACCAGUGGCGAAGGCGAGUCCCUGGACAAUACCUGACGCUGAGGCACGAAAGCUAGGGGAGCAAACAGG
rnacentral:rRNA from 1 species